rnacentral:rRNA from 1 species
AUUCCAGCUCCAAUAGCGUAUAUUAAAGUUGUUGCAGUUAAAAAGCUCGUAGUUGGAUUUCUGGUGGGGCUGUCGGCCUGGCUCCGAAAGGGGUCGUGGUUAGUACACGCCUGGCCAUCCUCGGGGGAAGCUUUGCUGGCAUUAAGUUGUCGGCGGAGUGACGCUCGUCGUUUACUGUGAACAAAUUAGAGUGUUCAAAGCAGGCUUAGGCCGUUGAAUACAUUAGCAUGGAAUAAUGAGAUAGGACUUUGGUGGUCUAUUUUGUUGGUUUGCACGCCGAAGUAAUGAUUAAUAGGGGUGGUUGGGGGUAUUCGUAUUCAAUUGUCAGAGGUGAAAUUCUUGGAUUUAUGGAAGACGAACUACUGCGAAAGCAUUUACCAAGGAUGUUUUCAUUA